UACGUAGGUGGCAAGCGUUGUCCGGAUUUACUGGGUGUAAAGGGCGUGUAGGCGGAGCUGCAAGUCAGAUGUGAAAUCCCGGGGCUCAACCCCGGAACUGCAUUUGAAACUGUAGCCCUUGAGUAUCGGAGAGGCAGGCGGAAUUCCUAGUGUAGCGGUGAAAUGCGUAGAUAUUAGGAGGAACACCAGUGGCGAAGGCGGCCUGCUGGACUGCAACUGACGUUGAGGCUCGAAGGCGUGGGGAGCAAACAGG
rnacentral:rRNA from 1 species